UUUAUGGAGAGUUUGAUCCUGGCUCAGGACGAACGCUGGCGGCGUGCCUAAUACAUGCAAGUCGAGCGGACUAAUGGGAGCUUGCU
rnacentral:rRNA from 1 species